GACGAACGCUGGCGGCGUGCUUAACACAUGCAAGUCGAACGCGCCUGUCCUCUGGGUUUCUGGGGGGUGGGUGAGUGGCGAACGGGUGAGUAACACGUGAGUAACCUGCCCCCUUCUUCGGGAUAACGGUCUGAAAGGGCUGCUAAUACCGGGUAUUCACUGGUCUCCGCAUGGGGUCUGGUGGAAAGGUUUUUUUCUGGUGGGGGAAGGGCUCGCGGCCUGUCGGCUUGGUGGUGGGGUGAUGGCCCACCAAGGCUUUGACGGGUAGCCGGCCUGAGAGGGUAACCGGUCACAGUGGGACUGAGAUACGGCCCAGACUCCUACGGGGGGCGGCAGUGGGGAAUAUUGCACAAUGGGCGCAAGCCUGAUGCAGCGUCGCCGCGUGAGGGAUGGGGGCCUUCGGGUUGUGAACCUCUUUCGCCCGUGGUCAAGCCGCGACGUGGGUCGUGGUGAGGGUAGUGGGUAAAGAAGCGCCGGCUAACUACGUG
rnacentral:rRNA from 1 species